GAUGAACGCUGGCGGCGUGCUUAACACAUGCAAGUCGAACGGAAAGGCCGAAGCUUGCUUCGGUACUCGAGUGGCGAACGGGUGAGUAACACGUGGGUGAUCUGCCCUGUACUUCGGGAUAAGCUUGGGAAACUGGGUCUAAUACCGGAUAUGACGAUCUCUUGGAUGGGGUUGUGGAAAGCUUUUGCGGUAUGGGAUGAGCUCGCGGCCUAUCAGCUUGUUGGGGGGGUAAUGGCCUACCAAGGCGUCGACGGGUAGCCGGCCUGAGAGGGUGUACGGCCGCAUUGGGAGUGAGAUACGGCCCAGACUCCUACGGGAGGCAGGAGUGGGGAAUAUUGCACAAUGGGCGCGAGCCUGAUGCAGCGACGCCGCGUGGGGGAUGACGGCCUUCGGGUUGUAAACUCCUUUCGCAAUCGACGAAGCCUUUUGGUGACGGUAGGUUGAGAAGAAGCACCGGCUAACUACGUG
rnacentral:rRNA from 1 species